rnacentral:rRNA from 1 species
AGAGUUUGAUCCUGGCUCAGAGUGAACGCUGGCGGCGUGCUUAACACAUGCAAGUCGAACGAGAACGGGUUAUAGCUUGCUAUAACUGUCAGCUAAGUGGCGCACGGGUGAGUAAUAUAUAGGUAACGUGCCCUAGAGAGGGGGAUAACAAUUGGAAACGAUUGCUAAUACCCCAUAUGCCUUUAAGUCAUAAGACUGCAAGGGAAAUAUUUAUAGCUCUAGGAUCGGCCUGUACGGUAUCAGUUUGUUGGUGAGGUAAUGGCUCACCAAGACUAUGACGCCUAACUGGUUUGAGAGGAUGAUCAGUCACACUGGAACUGAGACACGGUCCAGACUCCUACGGGAGGCAGCAGUGGGGAAUAUUGCACAAUGGAGGAAACUCUGAUGCAGCAACGCCGCGUGGAGGAUGACACAUUUCGGUGCGUAAACUCCUUUUCUAUAGGAAGAUAAUGACGGUACUNUAGA